CAUGCAGGCGGUUCAUCAAGUAGGAUGUGAAAUCCCCGGGCUCAACCUGGGAACAGCAUACUAAACUGGUGGACUAGAGUAUUGCAGGGGGAGACGGAAUUUCAGGUGUAGAGGUGAAAUUCGUGGAUAUUCGCAAGAACACCAGUGGCGAAGGCGGCUCACUGGGCCAUUACUGACGCUGAGGCACGAAAGCGUGGGAGCAAACA
rnacentral:rRNA from 1 species